UUAAGGUCUAAUUGCUCAAUGAAAAUUUAAAUAGCCGCAGUAUUUUAACUGUGCAAAGGUAGCAUAAUAAUUAGUUUUUUUAUUGAAAGCUGGAAUGAAUGAUUGGACGAGAGGAUGACUGUCUCUUUAUAAUAUUUUUUGAAUUUAACUUUUAAGUGAAAAGGCUUAAAUUUAUUUGAAAGACGAGAAGACCCUAUAGAGUUUUAUUUAUUAUUAUAGUUUUAAGAAUUUAUUUUAUAAUAAUUAAAUUUAGUUGGGGUGAUUGAAAGAUUUAAUAAACUCUUUUAAUUUUAAUCAUUGAUUUAUGAAUUUUGAAUCUAAAAUAUUAAAUUUAAAUUAAAUUACCUUGGGGAUAACAGCGUA
rnacentral:rRNA from 1 species